rnacentral:rRNA from 1 species
AGUAAAAUAAAAUUGAUUAGAAUUAAAGUAUUAAAUGUUAAAUCAUUAAAUUUAUGAGAUUUGGCGGUAUUUAAUUCAAAUUAGAGGAACUUGUUUAGUAAUUGAUGAUCCACGAUAAGAAUUACUUAAUUUAAUAUUUAUGUAUUGCUGUUUUUAGAUCUAUUUUAAGAAUUUUAUUGAUAUUUAUAAAUAUAAAUAAAUUCAAGUCAAAAUAUAGUAUAAUUAAGAUUUAAAAUGAGUUACAAUAAAUUAUAUUUAUAUGAAUUUUAGAAUUUAAUUUUUUGAAUGAAGGUGGAUUUAAAAGUAAAAUAAAUAAAUUAAUUUAUUUGAAAGUUGUUUUUAAAUAUGU